rnacentral:rRNA from 2 species
CGGUAUUUUGACCGUGCGAAGGUAGCGUAAUCACUUGUCUCUUAAAUGGAGACCUGUAUGAAUGGCAAGACGAGGGCUCAACUGUCUCCUCUCUCUAGUCAAUGAAAUUGAUCUCCCCGUGCAGAAGCGGGGAUACGUCCAUAAGACGAGAAGACCCUGUGGAGCUUUAGACACUAAAACAGACCAUGUCCCUCCCCCACCUAUAAGUGGCAAAACUUAAUGGCCCCUGUCCUACUGUCUUCGGUUGGGGCGACCGCGGAGAAACAAAAAUCCUCCACGCGGAACAAGAGCACUGCUCUUACAACCAAGAGUUCCCACUCUAACGUAACAGAACUUCUGACCUUAUGAUCCGGCAAUGCCGAUUAACGGACCAAGUUACCCCAGGGAUAACAGCGCAAUCCUCUCUUAGAGACCAUAUCGACGAGUGGGUUUACGACCUCGAUGUUGGAUCAGGACAUCCUAAUGGCGCAGCCGCUAU